UACGGAGGGUGCAAGCGUUAUCCGGAUUCACUGGGUUUAAAGGGUGCGUAGGUGGGCAAGUAAGUCAGUGGUGAAAUCUCCGGGCUUAACCCGGAAACUGCCAUUGAUACUAUUUGCCUUGAAUACUGUGGAGGUCAGCGGAAUAUGUCAUGUAGCGGUGAAAUGCUUAGAUAUGACAUAGAACACCUAUUGCGAAGGCAGCUUACUACGCAGAUAUUGACGCUCAUGCACGAAAGCGUGGGGAUCAAACAGG
rnacentral:rRNA from 1 species